GUUGUAUAGUCAAGUAAUUAAGUGCAUGUGGUGGAUGCCUUGGCAGUCAGAGGCGAUGAAAGACGUGAUNNNNNNNNNNNNNNNAGCCUGCGAAAAGCUCCGGGGAGGCGGCAAAUAUCCUUUGAUCCGGAGAUGUCUGAAUGGGGGAACCCACCUACUUUAAGGUAGGUAUUGCAACAUGAAUACAUAGUGUUGCAAGGCGAACGAGGGGAAGUGAAACAUCUCAGUACCCUUAGGAAAAGAAAUCAAUUGAGAUUCCCUCAGUAGCGGCGAGCGAACGGGGAUCAGCCCAUUAAGUUAUGUGUGUUUUAGUGGAACGCUCUGGGAAGUGCGAACGUAGAGGGUGAUAUUCCCGUACACGAAAGGGCACACAUAAUGAUGACGAGUAGGGCGAGGCACGUGAAACNCUUGUCUGAAUAUGGGGGGACCAUCCUCCAAGGCUAAAUACUCCUGACUGACCGAUAGUGAACCAGUACCGUGAGGGAAAGGCGAAAAGAACCCCUGUGAGGGGAGUGAAAUAGAUCCUGAAACCGCAUGCAUACAAGCAGUGGGAGCACCUUCGUGGUGUGACUGCGUACCUUUUGUAUAAUGGGUCAGCGACUUAUAUUCAGUAGCGAGGUUAACCGUAUAGGGGAGCCGUAGAGAAAUCGAGUCUUAAUAGGGCGUUUAGUUGCUGGGUAUAGACCCGAAACCAGGCGAUCUAUCCAUGAGCAGGUUGAAGGUUGGGUAACACUAACUGGAGGACCGAACCCACUGUCGUUGAAAAGCCAGGGGAUGACUUGUGGAUAGGGGUGAAAGGCUAAUCAAGCCUGGUGAUAGCUGGUUCUCCCCGAAAGCUAUUUAGGUAGCGCCUCGGACGAAUACCAUAGGGGGUAGAGCACUGUUUCGGCUAGGGGGUCAUCCCGACUUACCAAACCGAUGCAAACUCCGAAUACCUAUGAGUACUAUCCGGGAGACAGACUGCGGGUGCUAACGUCCGUAGUCAAGAGGAAAACAAUCCAGACCGCCAGCUAAGGCCCCAAAAUCAUAGUUAAGUGGGAAACGAUGUGGGAAGGCAUAGACAGCUAGGAGGUUGGCUUAGAAGCAGCCACCCUUUAAAGAAAGCGUAAUAGCUCACUAGUCGAGUCGGCCUGCGCGGAAGAUGUAACGGGGCUAAAACUAUGUGCCGAAGCUGCGGAUGUAUACUUUGUAUACGUGGUAGGGGAGCGUUCUGUAAGCCGAUGAAGGUGUGUUGAGAAGCAUGCUGGAGGUAUCAGAAGUGCGAAUGCUGACGUGAGUAACGACAAAACGGGUGAAAAACCCGUUCGCCGAAAGACCAAGGGUUCCAGUCCAACGUUAAUCGGGGCUGGGUGAGUCGACCCCUAAGGCGAGGCCGAAAGGCGUAGUCGAUGGGAAAAUGGUUAAUAUUCCAUUACUUCUGUGUAAUGCGAUGAGAGGACGGAGAAGGCUAAAUCAGCCUGGCGUUGGUUGUCCAGGUGAAAGGAUGUAGGCAUGUAUCUUAGGCAAAUCCGGGGUACUCUAUGCUGAGAUCUGAUAGCAAGCUGUACUUGUACAGCGAAGUGGUUGAUGCCAUGCUUCCAGGAAAAGUCUCUAAGCUUCAGUUACACAGGAAUCGUACCCGAAACCGACACAGGUGGUCAGGUCGAGUAGACCAAGGCGCUUGAGAGAACUCUGCUGAAGGAACUAGGCAAAAUGGUACCGUAACUUCGGGAGAAGGUACGCUGUUGUUGGUGAUGGAACUCGCUUCCUGAGCUGACGACAGCCGCAGAAACCAGGCCGCUGCAACUGUUUAUUAAAAACAUAGCACUCUGCAAACACGAAAGUGGACGUAUAGGGUGUGAUGCCUGCCCGGUGCUGGAAGGUUAAUUGAUGGGGUUAGCGUAAGCGAAGCUCUUGAUCGAAGCCCCAGUAAACGGCGGCCGUAACUAUAACGGUCCUAAGGUAGCGAAAUUCCUUGUCGGGUAAGUUCCGACCUGCACGAAUGGCAUAAUGAUGGCGGCGCUGUCUCCAGCAGAGGCUCAGUGAAAUCGAAAUCGCUGUGAAGAUGCAGUGUACCCGCGGCUAGACGGAAAGACCCCGUGAACCUUUACUGCAGCUUGACACUGAACUUUGACCUUACUUGUGUAGGAUAGGUGGGAGGCUUUGAAGCUGGAACGCUAGUUCCAGUGGAGCCGUCCUUGAAAUACCACCCUGGUAAUGUUGAGGUUCUAACUCUGUCCCGUGAUCCGGGACGAGGACCGUGUCUGGUGGGUAGUUUGACUGGGGCGGUCUCCUCCUAAAGAGUAACGGAGGAGUACGAAGGUGCGCUCAGCGUGGUCGGAAAUCACGCGUAGAGUAUAAAGGCAAAAGCGCGCUUAACUGCGAGACCCACAAGUCGAGCAGGUACGAAAGUAGGUCUUAGUGAUCCGGUGGUUCUGUAUGGAAGGGCCAUCGCUCAACGGAUAAAAGGUACUCUGGGGAUAACAGGCUGAUACCGCCCAAGAGUUCAUAUCGACGGCGGUGUUUGGCACCUCGAUGUCGGCUCAUCUCAUCCUGGGGCUGAAGCAGGUCCCAAGGGUAUGGCUGUUCGCCAUUUAAAGAGGUACGCGAGCUGGGUUUAGAACGUCGUGAGACAGUUCGGUCCCUAUCUACCGUGGGCGCUGGAAAUUUGAGAGGAUCUGCUCCUAGUACGAGAGGACCAGAGUGGACGAACCUCUGGUGUACCGGUUGUGACGCCAGUCGCAUCGCCGGGUAGCUAUGUUCGGAAGGGAUAACCGCUGAAAGCAUCUAAGCGGGAAGCCUACCUCAAGAUAAGAUUUCCCUAGGACUUUAUGUCCUCUAAAGAGCCGUUCGAGACUAGGACGUUGAUAGGUUGGAUGUGGAAGCAUAGUGAUAUGUGAAGCUGACCAAUACUAAUUGCUCGUGAGGCUUGACUAUACAACACCCAAGCAGUUG
rnacentral:rRNA from 1 species